CUCAUCCUAAUCUCCUAUCCUCUUCUCCUAUUUUCUGCUCAAUACUAUCUUCAAAUCUAGGUAUUUCUUUGGUGUUAUUUUUUUGCUCUGCCUUCCCAUUAUCCCAUUUUCAGACUGUGUUUUUCUUUUUAUUUGCUGAAUACUAUCUUCAAAUUGUGUAAUCGCCUUUGCUUUUUUAGAGUUAUUAACUCAUUUUUUAUCGCCUUAAAUUGUGGGCUUUCACUAAAUCAUUGCUGCUUAUAUUUUAUUGGGCACUAUAGCUAGGGUUCUUCACUCAUAGUACAUUAUUUUUGUUGAAUUAAUCCAACCACUUAUUUAGUUUAUUUGUUGCUUUUUUAAUGUGCCCUCGAUUUGUUGUUUGUUGCUUAAUAGAUCAUAACCCAUUUAGUUUUUCCUGCAAAAAUCUAAAUUUAUUUCUGCGUGACUGUUGAAUUUCUUGUUCUAUUUGUGUUACUGAAUUGGGUAAGACCCAUUUGGUGAAUUUUCCUUGAAAGCGUGAAUUAUCCGUACGCUUUGCAUGCGAAUUUGUUGUUUUAUUUGUUUUGAUUGGUGAUAAUUUAGGAGGUUUUGAAUGAGGGACAACUGGACAAGAGUGUGUGAUGUGGUAAGAAAUGAAGUUUGGUGUUUUUGAGAGAUGGGGUGUGUUUUUGGGAAAGAGAAUUUGUCAUCUGGGCUCUUAUUGGCUAGGUUGUAGCUGGGAAUGGGAGAAGGAAUGAGGGAGAGAGAGAUUCGAUUGCAUCGUUGGGGAGAAGAGAGAAAGUAAUAGUUGGUUCAGUAAAUAAGGAGGAGGACCAUGGUAGAUACAAAGGCGGAGGGGGUGGUGAAGUUUAGAAUGGUGGAGAUCAAAAUGAGAAGCCGAAUGAUGGAAAUGUGCAUUAGUUGAGAGGUGAGAAGAGGAGGUCUAGGGCAAAUCCUCGGCUAAGUAAUCCCCCCAAUUUUGCUCUGCUUUAUUGUUUUAGAUAAAAAGCUUUUGAGGAAAAAAAAGAGUUAAGAUAUCUUUCCAAUUUUGUCCAUGUUCAACAGUAUGACUCAUUAUACUUGAGUUUUCAAGAGUAAGUCCCGUAGGAUUGUUUAAUAUCAAACAACAAAUUUUGUUUGUGAGAUAAAAAUGGUUUCUUUAUGAGGUAAUAGAAGGAUAUGCUUCAUGCCAUUAUCAGGAAGCCAUCAAACUAUGACCUUUAACUUGUGAACUUAUACUGAUUACUGAUUACGUUUUCUAUGUCGACAGAUGUUGACAUGUUUUGAAAAUUUUAACGUCCUCAUUAUAAAUUUACUUUAACAAAUGGACAAACUGAUGAGUAUGGACGACUUGCCUACUCAGAAUAGAAUAUUGAAUCAUAUUUCUUGGUUUGGAAUACUAAUAAUUGGAUGACAUAGAAGCUCUUUCUUUCUCAAUGAAGUGACAAAAUUUCAAUUAUUUCCAUCUCUUUUUUCUCUUAUCAUUUAUUGCCACUUCAAAAUGGAUGCCACAAGUCUGUUAUUGCUUACAGUCCAAGAAAUGAAACCUGCAUUAGUACUGACAUUAUCUUUGGCUUAUAUGCUUUGAUAUUGUUUACUUGUUUGUUGUAUAUUUGCUAAGGCACUUCAAGGUUUUCUACUGGAAAUAAUUUAAAACUUGAGCAGGUUAUUUUAGUGUUGCUUAACAUGUUAUGGCAAGGCACUUCUAAUAUGCUAUGUUUUCCCCGCAUUAUUCCUAUCAAUGGGUUAAUACUUUUGAGCAAUAUACUGGAUGUUGAAACCGAAACAUUUAACUUGAAGACUUUUGAGCAAUUGGUGGUAUGUGAUUAUAAUUAAAUACAUUAAUAUGUCCUCCUCAAAUCGCCUAUCGAAGGUGUUAUAUAUUUCUUGAUAAUUUGAUGUAUAUUCAAUAUAGCUUCAACAUGAGUGGUCACAGAGUUAGGAAUAAGGAACUAAUGUCUUGGUUGGACGAGAAUGAACAUGCUUUUAUCGAAAUUCUUUACGAGCAAGUGAAAUCAAAUGCAUUGCAAUGUUCUACAUUCACGAAAGACAAAUGGGGUAGGAUCAAUGAAAUCAUGAUAGCUUAUACAAAAAUAGAUAACAACAUAGAUAGAAUAAAGGAAAAGUGAAACUGCCUAUGUAAGAUUCAUCGCAUGAUCUUUGAACUUUUGGGACAUACAUGUGUUACAUGGGAUCCAAAUACAAACAAAAGUUAAUGUUGCAGAAGAAUUUUGGCAACACUUUUAUACAGUACAUAUAUUUUUUUUAAAGAAUAUUUUCGUCAUUAGUUUUUAUCUUAUCGAUUUUACAUUUUUUUGUUGGACACUAUGAUAAUAUGGCUUCUUUUUUCAAUGAUAGAUUAACAAAUCGGAUUACAAGAUGUUCAAGAGAGAAGAAUGUAAGCAAUACCACACUCUUGGGGAGAUAUUUAACAGGAUUAUAGUUACUGGAGGAUUAGGUAAUACCUCAACUUAGCUUCCAAACACACCAAAGGAAGAAAGGCAACAAGAAAAUGAUUUUUUGAAUAGAGGAGUGCAUGUAUGUACGAAAAAUGGUGAUGAAGUCGAUGAGGUUUCAAGUACUCGUCGACGUGAGGAAAUUGGUACAUUGGGUGAACGUUAACGUAAAGAACCUAAGAUUAGUAAAAGUGAUAAACUUCGAGGUCUGCAUGGCACAGUGGUCGUCUACAGCUAGUUUGAGGAAUGAAGAAACUAAACUUAGAAUACUUUACCUAAAAAAAAAAAGCUUGCAAAGAUCCAAGAAGAUCAUGUAAUCCAUUGGAUAAUGAAGUUAAUAGUCUGGAUACUUAUUCAAAUAUUAUUUGCUUGGACAUCUUAAUAUGGAAGGGGUGUCCAAUGAGAUUUAUAUGAAAGCAAUAAAGGCUUUUGAGAAUCCCGAUUUCAGGGUGUCAUUUGUGAAGAUGCUAGAAGCAAGGAGAGGGCCUAUCUUGGAACUACUUUGGUGUGACUAUUGCUUUAAUUUUUCUAGUAUCGUGUUGUUUUAAUUUGUGAUGUUGAAGGUUGAAGUGCUGUGUUAUUUUCACAACUUGAAGUAUUUUAUCUCCUUUCAUGGUGAUGUUGUACUAUUUUUAUUUACAAACUUAGUGAUGUUGUUGGUUGGAGAACUUAUGUUAAUUUUUCUUUAGUUUCUGAAUGCUUGAUUACUUGUUUUAUUUGAAUGAAUGAUGGUUGAUA
rnacentral:lncRNA from 1 species